GGAGAUCUGUGUGAAAAUGUAAAAUGUGCUCUCUCUCUCUUUUUCCCCUCUCUUUGCCCUAAACGCAGGGUAACACAUGAUCUAUGACAUUCUAUCGACACGGUCUUCUCCUCUGGAAGACCGUCAGGCGAACAGAAACAUGGCUCGAUCUUUUUCUAGUGGAUAUUUUUACCAUGAACAGAAAGGAUGGCUGCAGCAAGACUACAUGGAAAAAAGGCUUGAGUCCCAAAUGGCAUUAUGUUCCCUAUGUAGUACACUACAUUUGGCUGGAGCCCUGGUCAUAAAGUAGUGCUCUAUAUAUAUAUAGAAUAGGAUACCAUUUAAGAUACAACCAAUGCUUUUGAUUUAUUUUAUUGCAUUGUACUGUUCCAUAGAGCAAUUGAAGGACAAAUUGCUAGUAAACUAUUUUUUUUAACCUUUAUUUCACUUGGCAAGUCAGUUAAGAACAAAUUCUUAUUUUCAAUGACGGCCUAGGAACAGUGGGUUAACUGCCUGUUCAGGGGCAGAACGACAGAUUUGUACCUUGUCAGCUCGGGGAUUCGAACUUGCAACCUUUCGGUUACUAGUCCAACGCGGGAACUUUAUAUGAUAACAUUUAAUAUAUUAUUUACAGCAUUACUCUUACUUUUAUUUAAUUUAUGAAAAACAAUUUCAUCAUUCUGGAAAUUUUUGUUUAGCUUAAGACAAAAAACAAAUAGGAAAACGUAUUCAAGUCUUUUUACUCAAUUUCUGUCUGAGAGGUGUCUGUCCCAUUGAAUAGCCUCUUCCUGUUGUCAUUUUCCCAUCAGCCACUUCAGGAUUACGGUAUCCAUAUUAGGAUAGAGUCACAAGGCGUUACUCCUAGUUAGGACACUGUACAGGGUAGCACUUCCUCUCAGAAAAGGAACACAUCCACAGUAACUUUGAGCUGCGAAAUGACAUAGACAAACUGUCUACAUUGUCCAUAUAUUUGAAUAACAAGUCAAAUUUGAAGUUGAAAGUUAGUCGAAAUUUGAAAGACCAAAUAGUUUGCGAUAGCUAGCUGUGCUCUGAGACUUUUCCCAGUCAGGACUGGACAAUAAAGGGCCUCUGUGUACUGGUUGUAAACAUAGAGGGAUUCAAGGCUUGAGUCCCAAAUUACACCCUAUUCCCUAUGUAGUGUACUACUUUUGACCAGGGCCCCAUAGGGAACAGGGUACCCUUUUGGGACUCCUCUCAAGGUGACCUUCAUUUAGCCAAAUGUGCUGACGAGAGAGCCGGUGUGUCUGUGAGAUAAUGGGAUAUUGGGUUUUACUAAUGAGAGAUCACUGUGCCAUUAAAAGGGUUGGAGCACCCAACCACCCAAUGAAUGUGGCCUUCAACACCUGUUAUGGAUUAAAGGCUAUGGUUAUAACCUGUUAUAGAUUAAAGGCUAUGGUUAUAACCUGUUCUACAUGAUAUGCUAUGGUUAUAACCUCUUAUGGAUGAUAUGCUAUGGUUAUAACCUCUUAUGGAUGAUAUGCUAUGGGUAUAACCCAUGGGUAUAACCCUAACUCAGGUGAGUUGGGUGCAGGCUGGGCUGAGGUGAGGUGGAGACAGGCAGAGUUAGAGACAGAUAGCAGGCUGGGCUGAAGUGAGGUGGAGACAGGUAGAGUUAGAGACAGAUAGCAGGCUGGGCUGAGGUGAGGUGGAGACUGAGGUGAGGUGAGGUAGAGACUGAGGUGACAGUGAGAGCAGGUAUAGUUAGAGACAGAUAGCAGGCUGAGGUGAGGUGGAGACUGAGGUGAGGUGGAGACUGAGGUGACAGUGAGAGCAGGUAUAGUUAGAGACAGAUAGCAGGCUGAGGUGAGGUGGAGACUGAAGUGAGGUGGAGGCUGAGGUGACAGUGAGAGCAGGUAUAGUUAGAGACAGAUAGCAGGCUGAGGUGAUAGAUAGAUAGAUAGAUAGAUGGUGGUUCCUAACUGUUACGUGGUCGUGUAUACAACAGUACUAGUUAUAAUACAAGGAUGCGAGUUUUUCCCCACUGAACACUCUGAUGACUGUUGGGAAGGUGAAAUAUCCAGAAAGAAAGUCCCUAAGUACAUGUAUAUUAAAUGAAUCCUUAAAAUAUUUCCAAUUUUAGAAUUGUUAACCAAAUUAGAUUUAGAGAUUGCAAUAUUAAAGUGUACAUUUUUUUUGUUUGUUAAUUUGAAGUGAAGAAUGAGGAAACGAGACAUUUUUACACACCUUAUUAUUAUAUAGAGUAAGAAAACGUCUUCUUCUCCUCCUGGCUGUUUCUACCCACAACGUUGUAUACAAUUGCUGGUUUUGUAAUGCACUGUAGAGCAAAAGCAGUUCCACUGUUCUUUUUUUUAAAUAUAUAUAUAAAGAAAUGUUAUUUCAAUGGUCUAUUCUUUUUUUUUGUUUGUUUGAUAAAUACAGUUUUGAUACAAAA
ensembl:lncRNA